ACGUCCCACUGAGAGACAGUGAUGAAAAGGGAUAAAUGGCCGAGGGCUUGGAGUGAGACAGCCAGCUGCAGCUGUGUGGGGGUUAUGGUGAAUAUGCAGCUUAUUCCAGCAUGGACAAGGCAGAAAGUCACCUGGACAGGGUGUCCCUCAAAGGCUCCACACUUAAAUACACAACAAUAUGUUGAGUUAGAGACACCAGUAUGCCUCCAGUGAAGGAGCCAGAGGAGGGCACAGGCCAGGAUACACUCUGGGCAGAAGGCCUGUCCAUCACUGGGCACACUCUGGGCAGAAGGCCUGCCCAUCACUGGGCACACUCCGGGCAGAAGGCCUGCCCAUCACUGGGCACACUUCGGGCAGAAGGCCUGUCCAUCACAGUGCACAAGGAAAGGGGCACUCUGUAUGGGAUGCCAGUCCAUCAUGUGGCACGUAAUUACACACAGUAACCCAUUUGAGGUAAUUUUGAGAUGCCUGGCUUUGGAUUGGGAAGAACAGGCAAAUUAAACAUAUAGUUAAUGACAUCGGUAUGUGGUUCCUUUUACCAUUCUUCAGUUCUGCGGUGUUGUUCUUAUAUAA